CUCUGUCUCACACACACACACACACACGCACAGAGAGAGAGAGAGAAAGGAAAAGAAAGAGUGAGAUACCAUCAAGAUAAACCAGAAGCCUGAGGAACACUCUCGUUACAUACAGGAAAACAGCUUCUGUUGUUGUUAUUAUUUGUGUGUGUGCAUGCAAAAUAUCAAGAGGAUUUUUCUGGAAAAGGACAGUCCAUACCCUUAGCAUUGUAAUGAGCUUGUUUCAGAUAGCUUGAGGAACUGGAGCAUCUUCCCAUGUCAACACUUGAAAUCCAAAGGCACACCCAAAGAGGUUCCGGUCAGAAUCCAACAGAACCUUUCUGUAGAAUCCAAUUUGAUUUUCUGAAGUCAGGUGACUACAUUUGGGGCCACGCCUGCUUAUGCAGCUAUCCUGGCCAUUAUGUGCUCAGCAAUACCUCACAAGUCACUGAGAUGAACACUUUGAGCAAACAGGGCCAGGACAUCAUAGUGACCCAGGCUGUGAAAACACUUCAGGCCAGUCCCUGAGUAGGAAUGAACAACAAGGUAGUCACCAUGCUGACAGCUAUUCCCUGUGUGAUUUACUUUAUCAUGAAGUCUAAAUUUGAUGCUGAAGUGCUAGCCUAAGCUCACUAACAUGCCAACUUAGAGAAGAAGGUAAUCAUGGCUAGGAUGACUGGGAAUCUGAUGGACUCAAUUAAGAAUUUCUACAGAUGGGAAAACCAAACUCCUUACUGGCAAGAGGCCAAAGGUGGUCUGCAAAUUGUUGUUUCUGGCUGUUGGAAGUUGACUGCAGUUGAAUAAUAGAACAAAAAUGGAGCUUCAAAAUCAUGGCGUGCCUGCUUCUUCUGGGUUCUUUUAACUGCAAGAAAUCAGCUUUGAAGACCACAUAGGGAACUUCUGAUGUGAUACAAACUUUUGUCUUUUUUUUUUUGUCUUUUAAGAGCAUUCAAAAACACUUGGUCUGGCUGUUUCAAUUUUCUCUUUCUCUCCUUCUAUUCCUAGCUCAAGAAUUAUAUUUACAUAUGAAAGAAAAUAGGAGAUGGCUCAGAAUAAUAUGUCCAAAGCCACGCCCAGGGGUCAGGGAUUCAUGAAUUUUGUAUCCAGUGUAUGGUGUUUCUAGAUUAAAAUAUUUUCAAAGGUAA